GAUGCUAAUACCGCAUAACAACGUUGUUCGCAUGAACAACGUUUCAAAGAUGGCCUCUGGCUAUCACUUCUGGAUGGACCUGCGGUGCAUUAGCUUGUUGGUGGGGUAAUGGCCUACCAAGGCGAUGAUGCAUAGCCGAGUUGAGAGACUGAUCGGCCACAAUGGGACUGAGACACGGCCCAUACUCCUACGGGAGGCAGCAGUAGGGAAUCUUCCACAAUGGGCGCAAGCCUGAUGGAGCAACACCGCGUGAGUGAAGAAGGGUUUCGGCUCGUAAAGCUCUGUUGUUAAAGAAGAACAUGCGUGAGAGUAACUGUUCACGCAUUGACGGUAUUUAACCAGAAAGUCACGGCUAACUACGUGCCAGCAGCCGCGGUAAUACGUAGGUGGCAAGCGUUAUCCGGAUUUAUUGGGCGUAAAGAGAGUGCAGGCGGUUUACUAAGUCUGAUGUGAAAGCCUUCGGCUUAACCGGAGAAGGGCAUCGGAAACUGGCUAACUUGAGUGCAGAAGAGGGUAGUGGAACUCCAUGUGUAGCGGUGGAAUGCGUAGAUAUAUGGAAGAACACCAGUGGCGAAGGCGGCUACCUGGUCUGUAACUGACGCUGAGACUCGAAAGCAUGGGUAACGAACAGGAUUAGAUACCCUGGUAGUCCAUGCCGUAAACGAUGAGUGCUAGGUGUUGGAGGGUUUCCGCCCUUCAGUGCCGGAGCUAACGCAUUAAGCACUCCGCCUGGGGAGUACGACCGCAAGGUUGAAACUCAAAGGAAUUGACGGGGGCCCGCACAAGCGGUGGAGCAUGUGGUUUAAUUCGAAGCUACGCGAAGAACCUUACCAGGUCUUGACAUCUUGCGCCAACCCUAGAGAUAGGGCGUUUCCUUCGGGAACGCAAUGACAGGUGGUGCAUGGUCGUCGUCAGCUCGUGUCGUGAGAUGUUGGGUUAAGUCCCGCAACGAGCGUAACCCUUGUUACUAGUUGCCAGCAUUCAGUUGGGCACUCUAGUGAGACUGCCGGUGACAAACCGGAGGAAGGUGGGGACGACGUCAGAUCAUCAUGCCCCUUAUGACCUGGGCUACACACGUGCUACAAUGGACGGUACAACGAGUCGCGAACUCGCGAGGGCAAGCAAAUCUCUGAAAACCGUUCUCAGUUCGGACUGCAGGCUGCAACUCGCCUGCACGAAGUCGGAAUCGCUAGUAAUCGCGGAUCAGCAUGCCGCGGUGAAUACGUUCCCGGGCCUUGCACACACCGCCCGUCA
rnacentral:rRNA from 1 species